GAUGAAGAACGUAGCGAAAUGCGAUACGUAAUGUGAAUUGCAGAAUUCAGUGAAUCAUCGAAUCUUUGAACGCAUAUUGCGCUCUCUGGUAUUCCGGAGAGCAUGCUUGUUUGAGUAUCAGUAAACACCUCAACUCUUUUUUCUUUUUUGAAAUUGGAGCUGGACUUGAGUGAUCCCAACGCUUUCUUCCAAGAAAGUGGCGGGUUGCUUGAAAUGCAGGUGCAGCUGAACUUUUCUCUGAGCUAUAAGCAUAUCUAUUUAGUCUGCCUAAAAAACAGAUUAUUACCUUUGCUGCAGCUAACAUAAAGGAGACUAGUUCUUGUGCUGACUGAUGCAGGAUUCACAGAGACAGCUUCGGCUGACUUUGUAAACUCGAUCUCAAAUCAAGUAAGACUACCCGCUGAACUUAAGCAUAUCAUAAGCGAGGA
rnacentral:misc_RNA from 1 species